AAGUCGUAACAAGGUUUCCGUAGGUGAACCUGCGGAAGGAUCAUUACUGGAAUACAUUCGAGGUUGUAGCUGGCCUUUCGGGGUAAUGUGCUCGCCUUGAUUCAAAUCCAUCCUUCUUACACCUGUGCACAUUUUUUGUAGUCCCUUCCUAUAUGGCUUUAUUGGUUCUUGGGUCGACCAGAAUCAUAGAGUUCAACAAGGGGGGUUCUACGUCUUUACAUAUACACUAUUAAAUAAAAAGUCUAGAAUGUCAUACUUGUGAUUUAAAUACACAUCUAUAACAACUUUCAACAACGGAUCUCUUGGCUCUC
rnacentral:misc_RNA from 1 species